CAGGCUCCGUGGAGAGCGUACCCUGCCGGCCGCGGGCGGUGCUGCUGCGGAUGGGCCGGGGAACCUUAAGCCCGGAUCCCGGGAACCAUUGCCCAACCACAGAUAAGCCCGGACCAGGGCCGGGUGAAGCCCCCGAGACGCUUGCGCAGGAGCCCUAGGACAAAAGUUCUCAAGAUGUAACUGGGGGCAACAACAGAUGGGAACACAUUGGAAAUCCAAAUUAACAGGCCCCACAGCAAACCUACUGAAUCACAGUCUCUGGAGGUGGGGUCCAGUAAUCUGUUUUAACAGGACCUUCUUCUAAAAUUUGAGAGCCACUGGUCUAGAAGGUGCUGGCCCUUCGUCCUGCUUGCAUGGGGUGGGAAUACUGGAGUCAAGGCAGCCAUGCUUCGGCCAUGACGUCCCUGAGGAAAUGAGCCAACAACUACCAGUAACCAUCUUCUUCCAUGAGAAGAUAAUUGGCCACAAUUUUGCUGAUGCCACUGGUUAAUCGGGUCUCCUGUUACUUGCAAAUGAUCAAAAUCCUUGGUAUGAGGAUAAAAAGAUGCACAGAACAAUUCCUGGUCUCGGAACUCCUAGAGGAGAGACGUGUAAAUCCGGGAAGGCAGCCCUGGGGAACAAAGUGCUACCCAAGGGCUAUGUUGAGGGCCCACUGGUGGCAGGUAAGAGAAGUGAAUGAUGAUUUUUCUGGGUGACAGGAGAGCGGGAAGAAGGCUUCACAUAAGAGGAACUGCUUGUGUUGACUGUUUAAAGAAAAAUAAGCGUUAAGAUGUUCCUGCCAUGGACGGCGGUACAGACCUAGACCACAGGCACCAAGUCCUGGUUCCGUUGCUCACACUGGUCUCACUAGACCGUGAACUGCACACAGCCACGCCAAGUUUAUCUUCUUGAUUUUGUUCCCAGUGUCUGGCAUUUAAGAGAGGCUCAAAAUAUACUUGCUGAAUUGAAA